rnacentral:rRNA from 2 species
UACAACUUUUAGCAACGGAUCUCUUGGCUCUCGCAUCGAUGAAGAACGCAGCGAAAUGCGAUAAGUAAUGUGAAUUGCAGAAUUCAGUGAAUCAUCGAAUCUUUGAACGCACCUUGCGCUCCUUGGUAUUCCGAGGAGCAUGCCUGUUUGAGUGUCAUGAAAUUCU